rnacentral:lncRNA from 1 species
CUUUGUGUCAAGGCUUAGUUAUUAACGAUCAGACGUGUUGUCAGAUGCACAGUAUCAUCAGCGUCUCUGUCCCUGUUUGGUCAAAGGAGAGAACUCGACGAAGAAAUCAUUGGGGCAUGCACUAAACAUCCACCUUUUCAACUAGAGGUCUGGUCACAAAGGCUCGUCGUCUGCAACUGUGAGAGAAGGCCCCCCACUUAGUGUAUUUGACAAGCUGAGUUGGACACUCAGUAUGACAGGGUGUCAGUUUGUCAAAUACCCCAAGUGAGGGGUCACUUGUCUGCUGAGCAUCUCCCACCAGACUGACUUCAAAGAAGAUCACUUCAUAAACCUUCAAGUGACUUUCACUGUUACCCCGUUAGGCUUUCUCUGGCAAAACAUUUGAUUGUGUGAAAAUGUACUGUGAUGGUGUACAUGAUCUUGCACUGUCACUAAUGUCUCAUGUAUUUGUGUAAGUUUGUAUGAUGACACUUGGUACACUGUGUAACAAAUGUGUGUGUCCCUGUAUUAAAUAAUGUACUGGGUAAACUUGAGGUCCCUAGCAUAUGUAAAGACGAUGUGUAUAGACAAAUACAUAGAAAUGGAAUAGAGAUUGCAUUUCUAUAGGUAACUUUUCAUCAGGUUUCUAAGCACUUUUUGUAGGCCUAAAUUAAGUACAUAAGGGUGACUGACCCACUACCGAUGUCAAGUAA